UUUCCGAAGUUGUUACUCCUUGUCUCUUUUAUUUACAUCGUGAGAGAUGAGAGAAAGGAUAAAUAUCAAUCUAAGUCUAGGUUUACUAACCUAACUGAGACUCCCAUUCGUCCAUGAGAACCAUGGCGGCGGAGUGGUGGAAUCCCCUCCCAUGGAUUGAAGGCGGCCAUGGUCCUUGGAGCGUCGCCAUGAUCUCGGUUAGGAGGAGGCGCAACAGCCGAAGCUAGUUGUGAUUUGGAUAUAAUCUAUGUGUACAUCCGAGUUCGUCCUUCAAAUUCCAUGAAAGAAGUUGGGCGUCGAGAGCCCGGGACGAACUCUUUGGAUUUGUUUACGGUUAUCAAGGUCCAGCCGCCUUUGCUGAUCUGCUCCAUCAUCUGCCGCAGCUACAGUCCCAAGAAGAGCCAGCAGACUCUUUUUGGAAGGGGAAAUCGUGGCGUGAUGAUCUGUUCCAGGACUGCCCAGUUAGAUGUUCGAGACCAGAUACUCUGAUGCUACUCGCCAAGUAAUUUUCGGCGAGGCACACCUACGAAGUUACGGCGAGAGAUACACAUGAAAAUGAGCUCCGACUAGACGCGUACGUGCAGAGCUAGCUGCUCGCAUCUAUACUAGUAGAAGGUGCCAAAAUUUCUAUAGCCUAAGUCAUAUGACGUGUGAACAUGCCUAUUCUCUUAAUUAUUUUUCAAUCACAAUGUAUUACAAGCCAGGAUGUUUUUUUAACUGAAGCUAGGGUAUACAUUAUUUAAACAUGGUCUUCAUUGCCUAUUACAUUAUUGCUUGAUUGAUCACCUAACCCUUUUAUUAUUAUAUAUAGCGUACAAACUUUCUAGGAAGCUAUCACGAGGUUGCAAGAGCUUGUUGCCCUGUUGAUAUUUAUGAGUUAUCAACCUGAUUUUUUUAUUAGAUGUUUGCAUUAUGAUGACUACAGAUGUACGUUUAUGAACCUGAAAGAUUCCCUCAUAUGCAGUGGUUGAUAGAAGUUAAUGUGAGACGUUGAGGGCAGGGACAGUGCAGUCAAGGGAAACAUAUCAAGCCGAUCUCUAAAAGGCUACACACAUGUAAAUAGAAUUGGUUUCUAUACACAUGUAUUUUGAUUGCACAACAUCUCAAACGGGUGAAAAGAACGGGUCCGUGGGACCAGCAUUAAGUAAGGCUGAAUUGGUUUCUAAACUUCAAACUUCUGAUCAAAUGAAAAUAGUACUCCAAGAAAAGUUCAAUACAUCUCUAAGCGGCUUUGUUAAAAAUUAAGCAACUUUGUUCAGUACAUUUAUUUAUGUCAUACUUUGUGCCAAUUUAUUUACAUGGACUGACUUUGAUAAAUUACUCAACGUUUUGUAGGACUGAUGGUCAACCGUGAUAUUUAGAAGAAUUAGGAGGCAUUGUGAUUGCCAAUGAAGAAUGAUAUCCAUUCAAGCAACGAUGGUGUCCCUUGAUUGAAGAUUUAAUAAAUAUUAUCUUUUCUAGUUGUCUCAUUUUCUAGAUAUGAGCAAGUAUAUUGAUCAUAUAAGGAGUUAU